rnacentral:rRNA from 1 species
AACGAACGCUGGCGGCAUGCCUAACACAUGCAAGUCGAACGAACCCUUCGGGGUUAGUGGCGCACGGGUGCGUAACGCGUGGGAAUCUGCCCUUUGCUUCGGAAUAACUCAGGGAAACUUGUGCUAAUACCGGAUGAUGUCUUCGGACCAAAGAUUUAUCGGCAAGGGAUGAGCCCGCGUAGGAUUAGGUAGUUGGUGGGGUAAAGGCCUACCAAGCCGACGAUCCUUAGCUGGUCUGAGAGGAUGAUCAGCCACACUGGGACUGAGACACGGCCCAGACUCCUACGGGAGGCAGCAGUGGGGAAUAUUGGACAAUGGGCGCAAGCCUGAUGCAGCAAGGCCGCGUGAGUGAUGAAGGCCCUCGGGUCGUAAAGCGCUUUUACCAGGGAUGAUAAUGACAGUACCUGGAGAGUAAGCUCCGGCUAACUCCGUG